UUAAGCAUAUCAAUAAGCGGAGGAAAAGAAACUAACAAGGAUUCCCCUAGUAACUGCGAGUGAAGCGGGAAAAGCUCAAAUUUAAAAUCUGGCGGUCUUUGACUGUCCGAGUUGUAGUCUGGAGAAGUGUUUUCCGUGCUGGACCGUGUACAAGUCUCUUGGAACAGAGCGUCAUAGAGGGUGAGAAUCCCGUCUUUGACACGGACUACCAGUGCUUUGUGAUGCGCUCUCAAAGAGUCGAGUUGUUUGGGAAUGCAGCUCAAAAUGGGUGGUAAAUUCCAUCUAAAGCUAAAUAUUGGCGAGAGACCGAUAGCGAACAAGUACCGUGAGGGAAAGAUGAAAAGCACUUUGGAAAGAGAGUUAAACAGUACGUGAAAUUGCUGAAAGGGAAACGCUUGAAGUCAGUCACGUUGUUCAGAACUCAACCUGGCUUUUUUGCUUGGUGCAUUUUCUGAUUAACGGGUCAGCAUCAGUUUUGACUGUUGGAAAAAUUCCAUUGGAAUGUGGCACCUUCAAAGGUGUGUUAUAGCCUUUGGUUGUAUGCGACAGUUGGGACUGAGGAUUGCAGCACGCCUUUAUGGCCGGGGUUCGCCCACGUACGUGCUUAGGAUGCUGGCGUAAUGGCUUUAAGCGACCCGUCUUGAAACACGGACCAAGGAGUCUAACAUGCCUGCGAGUGUUUGGGUGGCAAACCCGAGUGCGCAAUGAAAGUGAAAGUUGGGAUCCCUGUCAUGGGGAGCACCGACGCCCAUACCAGACCUUCUGUGACGGAUAUGCGGUGGAGCAUGUAUGUUGGGACCCGAAAGAUGGUGAACUAUGCCUGAAUAGGGUGAAGCCAGAGGAAACUCUGGUGGAGGCUCGUAGCGAUUCUGACGUGCAAAUCGAUCGUCAAAUUUGGGUAUAGGGGCGAAAGACUAAUCGAACCAUCUAGUAGCUGGUUCCUGC
rnacentral:rRNA from 1 species